rnacentral:rRNA from 1 species
UUCUAAGGGCGGUGAAGUCAGACCGGAAGGACUGGUGGAGCGCUUAGAAGUGAGAAUGCCGGUAUGAGUAGCGAAAGAAGGGUGAGAAUCCCUUCCACCGAAUAUCUAAGGUUUCCUGAGGAAGGCUCGUCCGCUCAGGGUUAGUCGGGACCUAAGCCGAGGCCGAUAGGCGUAGGCGAUGGACAACAGGUAGAGAUUCCUGUACCAGUGCUAAUUGUUUAACCGAUGGGGUGACACAGAAGGAUAGGGAAUCGCACGAAUGGAAAUGUGCGUCCAAGCAGUGAGUGUGAGAAGUAGGCAAAUCCGCUUCUCGCGAAGCAUGAGCUGUGAUGGGGAAGGAAAUUAAGUACGGAAGUUCCUGAUUUCACGCUGUCAAGAAAAGCCUCUAGGAAGAGUAGUACUGCCCGUACCGCAAACCGACACAGGUAGAUGAGGAGAGAAUCCUAAGGUGAGCGAGAGAACUCUCGUUAAGGAACUCGGCAAAAUGACCCCGUAACUUCGGGAGAAGGGGUGCUCUAUUAGGGUGCAAGCCCGAGAGAGCCGCAGUGAAUAGGCCCAGGCGACUGUUUAGCAAA